UUAAGUGAUUAUUGCCGGUCGCGUAACUUCUUCAUUCUAACUUGUUUUCUCCUGAAAUUUGACGAGUGCUUAUGUAAUUAAAUUACACACAAAAACAUUAUCAACAGAGAGUUUAGAUACACUGCCAAAAUCUUAGUCCUUACACUUAUCCAAAGAUAAAUUAAAGUUAAAAAAAUUGAUAAUUAAACUCAUACCACCAAUAACUAUUUAAAUUUAAUAUAUAAAUAUUUUUUUUUUUUAAU
rnacentral:lncRNA from 1 species